rnacentral:rRNA from 1 species
GACGGAGGGGGCUAGCGUUGUUCGGAAUUACUGGGCGUAAAGAGCGCGUAGGCGGCAUAGCAAGUUGGAAGUGAAAGCCCGGGGCUUAACCUCGGAACUGCUUUCAAAACUGCUAGGCUAGAGUAUGGUAGAGGGUGAUAGAAUUCCUAGUGUAGAGGUGAAAUUCUUAGAUAUUAGGAGGAAUACCGGUGGCGAAGGCGGUCACCUGGGCCAUUACUGACGCUGAGGCGCGAAAGCGUGGGGAGCAAACAGG